UACGUAGGGCGCAAGCGUUGUCCGGAAUUAUUGGGCGUAAAGAGCUCGUAGGCGGUUUGUCGCGUCUGCUGUGAAAACCUAAGGCUCAACCUUGGGCUUGCAGUGGGUACGGGCAGACUAGAGUGCGGUAGGGGUGACUGGAAUUCCUGGUGUAGCGGUGGAAUGCGCAGAUAUCAGGAGGAACACCGGUGGGCGAAGGCGGGUCUCUGGGC
rnacentral:rRNA from 1 species